AUACUUACCAGGACGGGGUCAAUGGGCGAUCAAGAAGAUUCUCAUGGCCUACGGUAGUGACCUUCAUUGCACUUGGGAGGGGUACUACUCUAAGGUCUCCACAAGUGGGAGAGCCUACGUCAUAAUUUGUGGCAGCAGGGGCAUGCGUCCGCGCGGCCCCUAC
rnacentral:snRNA from 1 species